rnacentral:rRNA from 1 species
AGUGAACGCUGGCGGCAGGCCUAAUACAUGCAAGUCGAACGGCAGCACAGUGGAGCUUGCUCCAUGGGUGGCGAGUGGCGGACGGGUGAGGAAUACAUGGGAAUCUGCCCAGUCGUGGGGGAUAACGUAGGGAAACUUACGCUAAUACCGCAUGCGCCCUUCGGGGGAAAGCCGGGGACCUUCGGGCCUGGCGCGUUUGGAUGAGCCCAUGUUCGAUUAGCUAGUUGGCGGGGUAAAGGCCCACCAAGGCGACGAUCGAUAGCUGGUCUGAGAGGAUGAUCAGCCACACUGGGACUGAGACACGGCCCAGACUCCUACGGGAGGUAGCAGUAGGGAAUAUUGGACUAUGGGCGCAAGCCUGAUCCAGCCAUGCCGCGUGAGUGAAGAAGGCCCUCGGGUUGUAAAGCUCUUUUGUCCGGGAAGAAAAGCAUCGGGCUAAUACCUCGGUGUUCUGACGGUACCGGAAGAAUAAGCACCGGCUAACUUCGUG